rnacentral:rRNA from 1 species
CUACGGGGGGCAGCAGUGGGGAAUAUUGCACAAUGGGCGCAAGCCUGAUGCAGCCAUGCCGCGUGUAUGAAGAAGGCCUUCGGGUUGUAAAGUACUUUCAGCGGGGAGGAAGGGAGUAAAGUUAAUACCUUUGCUCAUUGACGUUACCCGCAGAAGAAGCACCGGCUAACUCCGUGCCAGCAGCCGCGGUAAUACGGAGGGUGCAAGCGUUAAUCGGAAUUACUGGGCGUAAAGCGCACGCAGGCGGUUUGUUAAGUCAGAUGUGAAAUCCCCGGGCUCAACCUGGGAACUGCAUCUGAUGCUGGCAAGCUUGAGGAGCGUAGAGGGGGGGAGAAUUCCAGGUGUAGCGGUGAAAUGCGUAGAGAUCUGGAGGAAUACCGGUGGCGAAGGCGGCCCCCUGGACGAAGACUGACGCUCAGGUGCGAAAGCGUGGGGAGCAAACAGGAUUAGAUACCCUCGUAGUC